rnacentral:rRNA from 1 species
GAGUUUGAUCCUGGCUCAGAACGAACGCUGGCGGCGUGCUUAACACAUGCAAGUCGAACGGAUUUGAGAAGCUUGCUUCUCAAGUUAGUGGCGCACGGGUGAGUAACGCGUAGAUAAUCUGCCUGAUGAUCUGGGAUAACACUUCGAAAGGGGUGCUAAUACCGGAUAAGCCCACGGAGUCUUUGGACUUUGCGGGAAAAGGGGGGGACCUUCGGGCCUUCUGUCAUCAGAUGAGUCUGCGUACCAUUAGCUAGUUGGUAGGGUAAAGGCCUACCAAGGCUACGAUGGUUAGCUGGUCUGARAGGAUGAUCAGCCACACUGGAACUGAGACACGGUCCAGACUCCUACGGGAGGCAGCAGUGGGGAAUUUUGUGCAAUGGGCGAAAGCCUGACGCARCAACGCCGCGUGAGUGAUGAAGGCUUUCGGGUCGUAAAGCUCUGUCGAGGGGAAAGAAGUGUAUUAGGGCUAAUAUCCCUGAUACUUGACGGUACCCCUAAAGGAAGCACCGGCUAACUCCGUGCCAGCAGCCGCGGUAA